GAUGAACGCUAGCGGGAGGCUUAACACAUGCAAGUCGAGGGGCAGCAUAGGGUAGCAAUACUCUGAUGGCGACCGGCGCACGGGUGAGUAACGCGUAUGCAACCUAUCCUGUACUGGCAGAUAACCCGGAGAAAUUCGGACUAAUAUUCCAUAAUGAUAUUGAGAGGCAUCUUUUAAUAUUUAAAGUUACGACGGUACGGGCUGGGCAUGCGUAACAUUAGCUAGUUGGUAGGGUAACGGCCUACCAAGGCCACGAUGUUUAGGGGUCCUGAGAGGGUGAUCCCCCACACUGGUACUGAGACACGGACCAGACUCCUACGGGAGGCAGCAGUGAGGAAUAUUGGUCAAUGGGCGCAAGCCUGAACCAGCCAUCCCGCGUGAAGGAAGAAGGCGCUAUGCGUUGUAAACUUCUUUUCCAGGGGAAUAAAAUUUUGUACGUGUACGGAAUUGAAGGUACCCUGGGAAUAAGCAUCGGCUAACUCCGUGCCAGCCGCCGCCGUAAGAC
rnacentral:rRNA from 1 species